rnacentral:lncRNA from 1 species
UUGCUCUUAUUUACUAUUGUCUUAUUAAAAUGUUUCUAAUUUUAUUUUUUCUUGACCUUUCAUCUAUUUUUGUAAACUUUAUUCGUGUUGCUUUAUUUAGCUAUUGUUUCUUUUUUUAUCCGUAUUGGUGUUUAAUGUAUCUGUAUUAGAGCAAUCAUAUUCCUUGGUAACAGCUUUUUGAUUUGUAAGAUUCAUAAUAUAGAGAAUGAAUCCCAGACUGAUUUAAGUGAUUCAAGGAAAAGUAAACAGCAGAAAUGUAAUGUUUGUGAUAAAGUUUUGUCUUCAGCAUCUAGCUACUAUGUACAUAUGAAAAAGCAUUCUAAUAAUAAACCUUACCAGUGCUCACAUUGUGAUGCAUCUUUUUGUAGGAAACCAUAUUUAGAGCCAACUUUCUAGGAGUAGAAGGAAUUUGAAGAAAACUCCAGUACCUUUUUUGAAUCAAAAGAGGUCAGAAUUCUCAGAAAAAUUAAAAAGAAUAGAACAUAAAUACAACAAAAUAUAAAACAAACAAUACGCUGAGAAAUGUUAUUGAACACCAAAUCUAACAAUUAACAAUAAAUAUCAAAGAACUGCAUUGAUAAAAUUCCUUAUGAAUGUGAGAAUUUGUAGUUGGAUGCAAGGGCCGCCGAGUGAAAAGCGAAU